AGAGUUUGAUCCUGGCUCAGAGUGAACGCUGGCGGCGUGCCUAAUACAUGCAAGUCGAACGAUGAAGCUUCUAGCUUGCUAGAAGUGGAUUAGUGGCGCACGGGUGAGUAACGCAUAGGUCAUGUGCCUCUUAGUUUGGGAUAGCCAUUGGAAACGAUGAUUAAUACCAGAUACUCCCUACGGGGGAAAGAUUUAUCGCUAAGAGAUCAGCCUAUGUCCUAUCAGCUUGUUGGUAAGGUAAUGGCUUACCAAGGCUAUGACGGGUAUCCGGCCUGAGAGGGUGAACGGACACACUGGAACUGAGACACGGUCCAGACUCCUACGGGAGGCAGCAGUAGGGAAUAUUGCUCAAUGGGGGAAACCCUGAAGCAGCAACGCCGCGUGGAGGAUGAAGGUUUUAGGAUUGUAAACUCCUUUUGUUAGAGAAGAUAAUGACGGUAUCUAACGAAUAAGCACCGGCUAACUCCGUGCCAGCAGCCGCGGUAAUACGGAGGGUGCAAGCGUUACUCGGAAUCACUGGGCGUAAAGAGCGCGUAGGCGGGAUAGUCAGUCAGGUGUGAAAUCCUAUGGCUUAACCAUAGAACUGCAUUUGAAACUACUAUUCUAGAGUGUGGGAGAGGUAGGUGGAAUUCUUGGUGUAGGGGUAAAAUCCGUAGAGAUCAAGAGGAAUACUCAUUGCGAAGGCGACCUGCUGGAACAUUACUGACGCUGAUUGCGCGAAAGCGUGGGGAGCAAACAGGAUUAGAUACCCUGGUAGUCCACGCCCUAAACGAUGGAUGCUAGUUGUUGGAGGGCUUAGUCUCUCCAGUAAUGCAGCUAACGCAUUAAGCAUCCCGCCUGGGGAGUACGGUCGCAAGAUUAAAACUCAAAGGAAUAGACGGGGACCCGCACAAGCGGUGGAGCAUGUGGUUUAAUUCGAAGAUACACGAAGAACCUUACCUAGGCUUGACAUUGAGAGAAUCCGCUAGAAAUAGUGGAGUGUCUAGCUUGCUAGACCUUGAAAACAGGUGCUGCACGGCUGUCGUCAGCUCGUGUCGUGAGAUGUUGGGUUAAGUCCCGCAACGAGCGCAACCCCCUUUCUUAGUUGCUAACAGGUCAUGCUGAGAACUCUAAGGAUACUGCCUCCGUAAGGAGGAGGAAGGUGGGGACGACGUCAAGUCAUCAUGGCCCUUACGCCUAGGGCUACACACGUGCUACAAUGGGGUGCACAAAGAGAAGCAAUACUGCGAAGUGGAGCCAAUCUUCAAAACGCCUCUCAGUUCGGAUUGUAGGCUGCAACUCGCCUGCAUGAAGCUGGAAUCGCUAGUAAUCGCAAAUCAGCCAUGUUGCGGUGAAUACGUUCCCGGGUCUUGUACUCACCGCCCGUCACACCAUGGGAGUUGUGUUUGCCUUAAGUCAGGAUGCUAAACUAGCUACUGCCCACGGCACACACAGCGACUGGGGUGAAGUCGUAACAAGGUAACCGUAGGUGAACCUGCGGUUGGAUCACCU
rnacentral:rRNA from 1 species